UACGGAGGGUGCGAGCGUUAAUCGGAAUUACUGGGCGUAAAGGGCGCGUAGGCGGCUGAUCAAGUCAGGUGUGAAAGCCCACGGCUUAACCGUGUGAAGUGCAUCUGAAACUGGUCGGCGUGAGUAUCGGAGAGGAAAGUGGAAGUCCCGGUGGAGAGGUGAAAUUCGUAGAUAGCGGGAGGAAUACCGGUGGCGAAGGCGACGUUCUGGAAGAAUACUGACGCUGAGGAGCGAAAGCGUGGGGAGCCAACAGGAUUAGAUACCCCUGUAGUCC
rnacentral:rRNA from 1 species